ensembl:lncRNA
GUUAAUUAUUCCCCCUCUAUUUUAACAGGGACCUGGGGCCACGUGAUGUCAAUGGCUAUUCUGCUCUUCACUAUGCUGCUCAGAUCCAGAGCCACAUCAAAGACAUAAUAAUGAUGGUUGAGUCCCUCAGGCAGCCAGUGACCCUGGACAUGCGGUUCUUUCACCUUGAUGAUGAAUUGCAAGUGACCUUUCCCAGCCCCUCUACCUCUCUGACCCCUGGCUUCCUCAUUCAGUCUGCGGCCAGCAUAGAGGAUGCACUGGAGUCCUCCAAACGUGUCCCUUUAUUACCCCAUAAUGAAGACAACAGUCAGGACAAGGGGCUGUCCCUAAGCUUACAGAGCACCAUGGAUAACCUGAGAGACACGAGACAAGCCUACCAGGAACUGGGGAUGGGUGGCAGUGGUGGUUCGUCUCUACCCAGCCUGUGGCACAGAGGUAGACACUUGGGCAAACCGGAUUCUACAGCGGCUAUAUUGAAGACCAAAGGGGGCAACCGUUUCCCGCCUGCUCCCCCCCGACUCAGGGGGAGGUGUGAGGUUGCAGCACCUCCCCGAGCCCAGCUGAGCCAGUCGGCCCCGGCAAUGACCAAGCCUGUCCUGGACUCAAGCUGUCUGGUCCAGGCACGAGCACACAUUCAGAACAGACUUCGGUGUGGUGAAACUGAGAAAAGUAGCUAUGGUCCAAAGGGGUCCUUUCCUGCCCUGUGUCCAGGCCCCAUCAGGAACCCCAAGCUGUUAGCCCCAAUUGAGGGGAGGCAUAGCGCUGGAGGAGUUCUGCCUGGGCUGAAGCACCAUUCCCCCCUGAAGCCCCUCAGCCUGCUGCCUCUGAACUCCAUGCCCUCCAGGCUGAGGAGAGAGAGGCUCAGCAGGACCACGGUCAGCCCCAGGAGAGGGAGUGAGGAGAGCGGCUGUAGCUCCACCAGCAGCCAGUCGUCCAUCGACCUGGAGGAAGAGGACGAUCAGAAUGGGAGAUACUUGAGAGGCACCACAGCAAAACAACAUUCUGGAGAGGAAAGAUUGGACUUGGAUCUACAGCCUGUAAACUCACCUCACAAAGCAACUGAGAUCAGGCACAGACAUAUCCCUGAUUUAUUGAGUUUUAAAGACAUUAACAGCACUUUAUGGUUUGAGAGGGGUUGUGAAGAAGGGGUUGUGGCAGCAGAACGGACAACGUGCUCAGGGGGUCUCAUAAAGGAGACCACAAAAACUGAGCCAACUACCACAUGCACUUUUACGCCUGGAAACAAAGACAUGGAAGUAAAUGACAAUGAAAAGACUAGUGGUGUGAAUACCACCAACUAUCAACGUCUUCCUUCUCCUGUCAAAGUCCCAUUAUGCGAAUUAAAUCUUCCUACACGGGUGAAGAUCAAGGCUACCAAGCAAAACAAAAUAAUUAAGAAAAGAAGCAGCACUAGUGUCCAAAACAAAACAAAUCAGUCUUUUAACAUCUUGGCAGACAAAGAACACAUCCGUGGGAACACUAAAUCCUCCAAAAAUGUGAGGAAUUUGUCCGUUCCUUCACAUUCCUUAGCAAAUGUCAGAAAACCUGCUGAAGUCAUCAGUGGAGAGGCCACAGUGAAAUCAAGGAUAAUUUCUACAAAGACUGGUCAGAGAAGCACAGACAUGUCUUCUCUCCGAAUAAGGAAUACAGAGCCCUCAUGCCAAAGUGGCAAAAAGCUAAACAAUGACAGAAAGUCACUAACUAAAAUAAGUGAGCCUUGUCAGAAACCUAUCGAGCAAAGGGAGCCGAAGACUGCCAGACGACCUAUGAAGACUGGAGAGAUCCAGAGUACCCCAAGGUCUAAGUCAGCCAUAGACUCCAUUACUUACAGUGACAUGUUCCGGGAAAUUGACAUUGGGACUGAUCAGGGUCCAGUUAUAUAUGAGAUGUUUGCAGGCCCAGUGUUUGAUAACAUCCGAGUUUCCAGGUCAAAAGGAUGUGAAAGGAACAGACAAGUGCAGUCUGCGCAAUCUAGGAAUGUCCUAAACCACAGGCCAAAACGCAAAUGCCCUAAACCACUGGAGAGCAACCGACAAAGGAGAAGCCCAGUGGACAAUGUGGUUUCUACUAAGGGCAAGCAGAGGAAGAAUCGAACUAUUAGGCCUAUAUCCAGAGGAAAGUCUAGCCUGAUGCCCAUCGACAUCACUGAUGACAAGGACAACACAGUGGUCAUUUCUGGACUCAACUGGCGCAUCCACCCUCAGGCUGAGACUGAACCGGUCAACAGCAGAGAUGAAAGAGAGACCGUGGUGGCAGGAGAGCAUAUGUUGUCACUGUCAGUGAUAGAGGAAAUGCUGUCCAGUCACGCCUCUGACACACUCAUCCAUCAGUGGCGGCCAGAUGAAACAAGUCAGACAAAGAGUAAUCAUACAUCUCAAUCUGACCCAGGUGAUGACAGUCUCUGUGUUGAAGAAAAUAAGGGAUCCAAGGAGAACAAUGGGUCAGGCUCUGGCCAUAACAAUGGGAAGGCAGAUCACCUGGACCACUCGUCUGCCUGGUCACACAGUCCAGCGCAAACUAAGAUCAACACAUGGACUUCAGGUGGCUGUGACAGUAUGUCACCUGUGUUCCAGAAGUUUCUGGAUGGGGUAGGGGAGGGUCCUCUGACAGAGGAGUUGCUGAAGUGCUUGGCUGAAGAGCUGAUAUCACUGGAUAAAAGAGAGUGUGUGUCUCUGUGUUCAGAAAACAACUCUGACAAAGAAAGGGAAUCUAAAAAUAAUUCUGCACCAAGGCGAGAAAAAUCCUCCCAGAGGGUAAGCAAAUAA